rnacentral:rRNA from 1 species
CCUACGUGCGGCAGCAGUGAGGAAUAUUGGUCAAUGGCCGGAAGGCUGAACCAGCCAUGCCGCGUGAAGGUCAGUGCCCUAUGGGCGUUAAACUUCUUUUGUGCGGGAGCAAUCAUGGUCACGUGUGGCCAGACGAGAGUACCGUACGAAUAAGCAUCGGCUAACUUCGUGCCAGCAGCCGCGGUAAUACGGGGGAUGCAAGCGUUAUCCGGAGUUAUUGGGGUUAAAGGGUGCGUAGGCUGGGAGGUAAGUAAGUGGGGAAAUGCCCCCGCUCAACGGGGUGAAGUGCCAUUGAUACUGCCUGGCUGGAAUGCGGAUGCCGUAGGAGGAAUGUGUGGUGUAGCGGUGAAAUGCAUAGAUAUCACACAGAACACCGAUUGCGAAGGCAUCUCACGAAUCCGCGAUUGACGCUGAUGCACGAAAGCGUGGGUAUCAAACAGGAUUAGAUACCCUGGUAGUC